GAGUGAUUUACUUCUGCAAGUCUAAUAACCAUACAACAGAAUAACACAAUGAAGGACGAUUUCAUAAAUUACACAGAAAAGGAACCACUUGAUCCUAAAUCUGCAAGGAAUGGCUAUGGCAAUCCUACUUUCCAACAUGAUGAAAAACCUGAGCAAAAUGACAAAUUACAGAAGAACAAGAAAAA